AGGGGCGUAGCUCAAUUGGUAGAGUCCCGGUCUCCAAAACCGGUUGUUGCAGGUUCAAGUCCUGUCGCCCCUG
rnacentral:tRNA from 1 species